rnacentral:ncRNA from 1 species
GCAGAGUAGGGCCACACGUGCUGGUCCCGGCCUGGAAUGGGCCGGACCUUCAGUGCCGGCGGGACGGGGAGUUGUCCGCCGGACGAACAGCGUUUCCAAAACGCGGCAGUGGGUGGUCCGCAUCCCGCUGC